UACGUAGGGUGCAAGCAUUAAUUGGAUUUAUUGGGCGUAAAGGACGCGUAGGCGGAUAGUUAAGUCAGAUGUGAAAGCCCGGGGCUCAACCCCGGAACAGCAUUUGAAACUGGCUAUCUAGAGGGUAGGCGGAGAAAACGGAAUUCCACAAGUAGCGGUGAAAUGCGUAGAUAUGUGGAAGAACACCGGUGGCGAAGGCGGCCCCCUGGUUGGAUACUGACGCUGAGACGCGAAAGCGUGGGGAGCAAAC
rnacentral:rRNA from 1 species